GCAUCAUCACUCCAGGCAGAGACUGCAGC
rnacentral:piRNA from 1 species